CAGAGGGUGCUAGCGUUGUUCGGAAUGACUGGGCGUAAAGGGCGCGUAGGCGGCCAAUCAAGUCAGAUGUGAAAGCCCCGGGCUUAACCUGGGAUGUGCAUUUGAUACUGGUGGGCUGGAGUACGAGAGAGGAAAGUGGAAUUCCUAGUGUAGAGGUGAAAUUCGUAGAUAUUAGGAGGAACACCAGAGGCGAAGGCGGCUUUCUGGCUCGUAACUGACGCUGAGGCGCGAAAGCGUGGGAGCAAACAGGAUU
rnacentral:rRNA from 1 species